CAUUGUAGGUUAAGGCGGAUUUCAUAGGUCUGCUCAAAGAGAAGGGCAUCGACCGGCACGCGCGCUGGGCCGACGCCAAGAAGAAGGUGGACAGCGAGGCGAGGUACAAGGCGGUGGAGACCAGCAGUCUGCGCGAGGACUACUUCAGGGAGUACUGCAAGCUGCUGAAGGAGGAACGGAAGAAAGACAAGGAUGGCAAAGAGAAAGAGCGCAGCUCAAGUAAGAAAGAGAAGAAAGAAAAAGAUCGAGACAAGGACAAGGAGAAGGAGAAGGACAAAGACAAGGAGCGCGACAAGGACAGCAAGAAGGAGAA